UUGGCUCAGAACGAACGCUGGCGGCAGGCCUAACACAUGCAAGUCGGACGGUAGCACAGAGAGCUUGCUCUUGGGUGACGAGUGGCGGACGGGUGAGUAAUGUCUGGGGAUCUGCCCGAUAGAGGGGGAUAACCACUGGAAACGGUGGCUAAUACCGCAUAACGUCGCAAGACCAAAGAGGGGGACCUUCGGGCCUCUCACUAUCGGAUGAACCCAGAUGGGAUUAGCUAGUAGGCGGGGUAAUGGCCCACCUAGGCGACGAUCCCUAGCUGGUCUGAGAGGAUGACCA
rnacentral:rRNA from 1 species